rnacentral:rRNA from 1 species
GACGAACGCUGGCGGCGUGCCUAAUACAUGCAAGUAGAACGCUGAAGGAGGAGCUUGCUCUUUCCGGAUGAGUUGCGAACGGGUGAGUAACGCGUAGGUAACCUGCCUGGUAGCGGGGGAUAACUAUUGGAAACGAUAGCUAAUACCGCAUAAGAGUAGAUAUCGCAUGAUAGCUGCUUGAAAGGUGCAAUUGCACCACUACCAGAUGGACCUGCGUUGUAUUAGCUAGUUGGUGAGGUAACGGCUCACCAAGGCAACGAUACAUAGCCGACCUGAGAGGGUGAUCGGCCACACUGUGACUGAGACACGGCCCAGACUCCUACGGGAGGCAGCAGUAGGGAAUCUUCGGCAAUGGACGGAAGUCUGACCGAGCAACGCCGCGUGAGUGAAGAAGGUUUUCGGAUCGUAAAGCUCUGUUGUAAGAGAAGAACGAGUGUGAGAGU